UACAGAGGGGGCAAGCGUUGUUCGGAAUUACUGGGCGUAAAGGGCGCGUAGGCGGCCUGCUAAGUCGAACGUGAAAUCCCUGGGCUUAACCCAGGAACUGCGUCCGAUACUGGCAGGCUUGAAUCCGGGAGAGGGAUGCGGAAUUCCAGGUGUAGCGGUGAAAUGCGUAGAUAUCUGGAGGAACACCGGUGGCGAAGGCGGCAUCCUGGACCGGCAUUGACGCUGAGGUGCGAAAGCGUGGGGAGCAAACAGGG
rnacentral:rRNA from 1 species